rnacentral:rRNA from 1 species
GCGAGGCCGAAAGGCGUAGUCGAUGGGAAACAGGUUAAUAUUCCUGUACUUGGUGUUACUGCGAAGGGGGGACGGAGAAGGCUAUGUUAGCCGGGCGACGGUUGUCCCGGUUUAAGCAUGUAGGCUGAUUGUCCAGGCAAAUCCGGAUAAUCAAGGCUGAGGUGUGAUGACGAGGCACUACGGUGCUGAAGUAACAAAUGCCCUGCUUCCAGGAAAAGCCUCUAAGCAUCAGGUAACAUCAAAUCGUACCCCAAA